ensembl:lincRNA
AUACUUUAAGAUUCAGAAAUACUUCAUUUUUGGCCCCUUCCCUCUUUCUUUUUACAAUAAAUUCUUCCUCCUUGUCUGGUGGGAGUGUGGCCAGAUGUGCUGCUGGAAAGAUCCCCCUGGACACAUUUGCUGCCGUGUGUCUGUUCAUCACCUUGCUGGGUCUCAUCCUCCCUCCGGCUGGAACAGUCUGCGUGGCAGCGAGGGAAUGGGGGUCAGCCUGCAGGACAUCGCGGGAACACGGGGAACCUCUGGCCACUUAGGGGAGUCUGCCAUUGAGAGAGGCGGAGAACAAUGAACAAAGAAGCAGAAUCCCACGGACACACUGCCCGGCACAUCUCCUCCUGUCAGCAGCCUCCAGCAGAGUAAAAAUGGUUGGUUAAGUGCAAGGUCGUUUUUAAAGAUGCAUCAGAAUUCAGACAAAGGAAUAACCCCCAAAGGCAUACUCAGAUACUUUCUCAGUCACCUGGUAAGGUUGCAGCCUCUUCACCUGUAUUCAGUGUGCUUGUUGGUUGGACUGUUCUCUCUUGUUCCCUGGGGACCUGUCUGGGAAAUGCCCAAAUUCCACUGGGAUAACUGCCGGCAAGCAUGGUGGACGAAUCUGCUGUUGCUAAAUAACUUUGUGUCGGUCAAGAAUGCGUGCAAUGGCUGGACCUGGUACCUUGCCAAUGACUUCCAGUUCCACCUCACCACACCAGUGAUUAUCUUCAUCCAUGUAAAGAGUACACAGAUCCUCAUCCUCCUUGGGGCCAUGCUGUUCUUGGCAUCUUUCACAGCCACUGCUCUGAUCACAUUGGCAUAUAAACUUCCUGUCGUGGCUCCAUCAGAAACCAGGUAAUGCGGUUCCCCAGCCUGCCGCUUUCUGGCCACGACUUCCCGGGGAGGGCUGCUGAAUGCCAGGCUGUUCACCCUGUGCCCUUUGGUUCAUGGAAAAAGUGGGUAUGAAACUUUUGGUCUGGAUGGGAAAGCUGAUUGCCUUCUUGCUUCCAAACUUCUGAACCUUUCAACCUGUACUGGUAGGUCCUCUCUGAACUCAACGUUGCCCAUUGAAACGCUUCUCAGAGGAAAGGAGCGCCCCCAUGUGGCUGUACUGUGUUUCUCCUCCAGCAGCCAAUGGCUGCUUGGUGGCUCUGUUGGAUGGAGAGACUGAACCUACCUCUUCAAGGUCACACAACUAGUAGGUGGCACAGGUGUGAUUUGAACCUAGAAGCCAAUCCACAGUGCUAUUUCCCCUACCCAAUGAGGCAUGUAUGACACUUACACAGGAAAAACUGUUAUGAUUACCUGCUAAUCUUCUCUCAAUGCAGUGACACAAAUGAAAAUCAGAUUACGUCAGUCAUCUGCUCGAAUUCCUCCAGUGGCCUCAUUGGUCACCCUCCUACCUGCUGACACUGGACCAGCCACACCAACUCAUCUCAACGCACCAAGCACUUUCCCCGAACCCCCUUCCCCACCCUCCCCAACCCGGGGCCUUAGCACUUGCUGUUGAGCCUGAAUUACUCUUCUGUUAAAAUCUAAGAUCUUGGCAGGGCUUUCUCCUUCACAUCUUUCAGGUGUCUGUGCAAAUGUCACCUUCUCAGAGCAGCCUUUGCCGAUCUUCCAAAAUAAAAUGGCCAGAACCGUUCCUGGUAUGUGAGUGUUCCAUGUGAAUCUGUGAGUGGGUGGCAUGUGAGAAUAAAUGAAUGAAUUGGUGAUAACAUCCCAAGCCUCCUGACCAGGAGACUAUCAUGCCCUUCCCAUAUCAUGGCAUGGUGAAGUGAUUGAGGAGGAGGCUCACUCAUGUCCAGCCCAGCGGUUUUCAACCCUGGCCACAUAUUAGAGUCACUUGGGAGCUUCUAAAUCUACAGAUGCUUUCAUCCCCACCCACCUCCGAACAAUUGAAUCAGAAUCUCUGGGCAUGGGGCCCAGGCAGCUGACUUUUGUAAGCAUUCCCAGGGUGCUUACAAAU